rnacentral:rRNA from 1 species
GGGGGGGGGGGGGGGGGGGGGGGGGGGGGGGGAGGCGGGCGGGCGGACGAGGGGGGUGCGGCGCUGAUGUGAGCGGCGGACGGGGGAGGAGCACGGGGAUAACCUGCCGAUCAGGCUGGGAUAACUUCGGGAAACCGGAGCUAAUACCGGAUCAUAUUUUGAACCGCAUGGUUCAAAAGGGAAAGACGGUCUUGCUGUCACUUAUAUCUGGAUCCGCGCUGCAUUAGCUAGUUGGUAAGGUAACGGCUUACCAAGUCAACGAUGCAUAGCCGACCUGAGCGGGUGAUCGGCCACACUGGAACUGAGACACGGUCCAGACUCCUACGGGAGGCAGCAGUAGGGAAUCUUCCGCAAUGGGCGAAAGCCUGACGGAGCAACGCCGCGUGAGUGAUGAAGGUCUUCGGAUCGUAAAACUCUGUUAUUAGGGAAGAACAUAUGUGUAAGUAACUGUGCACAUCUUGACGGUACCUAAUCAGAAAGCCACGGCUAACUACGUG